GAGGAGGAGAGGAGAGGAGGGGAGGAGGGGACUUAUGAAUGCCGAGAGUGUCUUUGAAUAUAAGAGCAGGAAAAUAAACUGUCACCGCGCUGAAGGUACAAAGCAUCAUUACUGUUUCACAGGUCGCUCCACUCUGUUCGGAUUCUGAUUCAACUUUUGGACUGAAACUCUAAAUCAUGACUUCAUGGAAAAACAAUCAGACCGAGACGAUGAGAGAAGAAGAACAACGGUGUCUGUAAAAUGAUUAAUAUGGUGAUUAUUACUUCAAGGAAAUGAUAAAGAAAUGAUCAUAAAUGUUCUUCCUAGAGCUGCGGCACCCCGCUGUAGUCCAUAAUGGACUGGCCUGAGGUCUCGCCACAAACAAGCGUCUGCUGGAAGAGAGUAGGUGAGUUGUGUUUAGUCUAAUGAGUCAAAGUUAAAAAGAUGUUUGGUGUCUAGUACUAUGUCUGUGACCCUAUAUGUCCUGUUGAUGAAGUUAGGUGCUGUUCUGAGCAUUAUUUGUGGCUAUAGAGUGGCGUUUUGGUUGGGGGCGUGUCUCUCUGUAUUACUAUCCUGCGGUCGUUACUAAAGUUGGUAUAACUAGAGAACCUGCUUUAGCUCCCGUACGACCUCUAAAAACCCGAGCAGUUUGCUGUCAGAUCCUUUGCAACAAACCCGGGUCUCGAUCAAACCUGAGCUCGUCUCUAGAGGACGUCGGCCUUCUUGGUGGAGGAUCAUUCGACUCUUACCCCCAAUUUCCACCUCUUCCUGAUCGGCUGUGAAAAGACCAAACCAAUCGUAGCUGAUCAUAACCAUACAUCAUACGGAUCGCCGGACUCCUCAGCUGAUCAAGAGUUCUAUUUUUUCUGGACGCCGGAGCAUGGCGGAUAAAUUCAGCACAGAUUAACCCGUGCUGGAAAGGAAGUCGGGCACAGACACAAAAUAAAACAUCCGGAGGCAAACAAGUGAAAGGUUUUUAGACGUCAUUUCACCCCGAUGACACCAUGGAUGAGGAGAUGCUGAUUCUAGAAGUCUAGAAGUAGAUUUCCUCCUCUGGAAGGACACAAUCUACUGCUUAUAUGGUUAGACUCUGUGGCUAAGAGAGAACUUGUUAUCGCGUGAUUGCACGUGAAUCCGUGGGUUCUUGUGAGUUCUUGCGAUUCCUGCUGUCCGUAAUCCACCACAGAAUUAACCUCACAAACGGAUCUGGUGGGAUUCGGCGUACGGUGAAAAUCACCACCGUUCCGGAUGCGGUGGAAAUCCCGGGUUAAAGGUAAGGUCACUGACAGGCGAUUUCAAAGAAAACAGGCCUGGAAGGUAAAAUUGAAAUUCUCCCGUUCUACUUUUGAAGACCUCAGUUGGGUAAUAAAUAAAGUCAGACUGAAUAUUAAUCUCAGAUUCAAUAAAAGCAUCAAAAGCCGAAAUAAUUGCCUCUAAAGUCGUAACUUUUCUGAAGUGUUCAGACCAAGAAAAGGUCAAAUCUGUUCAGCUUUGACUUCUUCGUUUUGUAGCUGGAUUACCUCUGCGUUCUUCGAACAGUUCGGUCGCGUCUGUUUUUAGCUGAUUGGAAAGUUGAAGGGCGGUGAGCAGCGGCUCUGCCCUCUCCUGAAUAUGGAUAUUUCCUCCUACGCACCUGUCUCUAACAAACCAAAGGUGUGCGUGAGCUUUCAUCUCAAACCAGAUCUGUGUAGGAGGAGGAAAUCAUUUUAUUGAUAUCUGCUGCUGGAUGCCACUCACUAACUCGCUCGUUCCCACCAAUUAGCAGGUGACCUCGGGGGGCAGCUAACAAGGUCGCCGGUUAUGGAUUGCUCCCGUAUUUGCUUACAUAACCCGAUCAUGAGCUCCGAAGAUGAAUUACGCCACAAACUGUUUCAGACAAGCCCGCUGGAUAUUAAUUUAUAAGCUUUGAUUCAUAUAUUUAUAACUGCAGUGAGUUAUGAGACAGCAGCGGGGAACAUGGAGGAGAAUUUAAAACUGGAGCAGAGCGAGGAGGACGGAAAAAAAGAAUAAGGACCUGUGUCACCAAACAGGCUCAUUUUAGUCUUUCUAUUUCAGUAAAACCUCGUACCAGGUCUCACGGAGCGGGCCGGGAUCCGGCGCAGGUAACUCGGUUUAUCGGGCGUGUUCAGGUGAGGAACGAGGAGAUCUUUAACAACGAAACUGAAAACUGCUUCACAAUUCACUUCAGGUUUCUAAUCGGAUAAUUAGGAAGAAUCAAUCAAAUAUUUAAUGAAGGUGCUUUUACACCGCAGAAGAAGAAGAAGAAGAAGAAGAAGAAGAAGAAGAGGACAGAGGAUUAUUACACAAAAACAGUUUGAUAAAAAGUUCUUUAUCCUUCAGUGUUUGUUGUAUUUUCAGAAAAGCCGAUGAAAACUUUCUUCCAUAUCAACAGCUAAUUAUGACAAAAUUCUGAGCACAUUUUUAAAGUUUUACGACAGGAGGAGUUUGUGUUAUAUCAAGGGUUGUGGGUUUUUUAAAUUUUUAUUUCACCUUUACUUAACCAGGAAUGUCUCUUUGAGAUUAAAAACCUCUUUUUCAAGGGAGUCCUGGCCAAGAGGCAGCAAGAAAUUACAGUUUCAACACAAUUAAAGAGUUAGGGUUUAGGAGUUAGGGAUUAGGGUGAGAGAUUACAGUUAGGAUAAAUGGAACACGGUUAAGGUUGGGGUUUGGGUUACGGUUAGGAGUUAGGGCAGGCAUCUCCAAACUCUUCCACAAAGGGCCGGCGUGGCUGCAGGUUUUUCUUCCAACCAAGCAGCAGCGCACCACACUUGAUUCAUUUCAUCAGCUGAUCUCAGUCUUCAGACAGCUGAUUGGUCAGACUGCUGCUCUUGAUUGGUUGGAAGAAAAACCUGCAGCCACACCGACCCUUUGUGGAAUAGUUUGGACAUGUCUGAGUUAGGGUUAUGAGUCAGGGUUUGGAGUUAGGGUUAGGAUUUGUGAUUACAGUUAUGAUAAAUGGAAUACGGUUAAGGUUGGGUUUAGGGUUAGGGCUCCUGUUUUCAGGUAGGGUUAAGAUAUUCAGAUUUGGGAUUACAGUUUAAGUUAGGGGAAACAGGCGGAGACGAACAAGUGAAAGGUUUUUAGACGUCAUUUCACCCCGAUGACACCAUGGAUGAGGAGAUGCUGAUUCUAGAAGUCUAGAAGUAGAUUUCCUCCUCUGGAAGGACACAAUCUACUGCUGAUAUGGUUAGCCUCUGUGGCUUGUGGCUUGAAUCCGCAGGUUCUCACAAAUGGAUCCGGUAGGAAUUGGCGUACGGCAAAAAAUGCGGUGGAAACCCCAGGUAAGGUGAUCAGACGUCCCUGAUUUCUGGGGACAGUCCCCGUGUUGGAUGACCUGUCCCUGGCUAAAUCUGUCCCCUGGAAUGACCCCGAUUUAAUCAUUUCCUGAAUGGGAACAAAAAUGUUGGGUGUAAACUAGAACAACGGUUAUUACGCUAGCAGAGUAAGUAGGAAGCACGAGUAAGCAUGUCGCCGCCGUUCCGGAUUCUAUAAACUCCCCCAGAGAAGACCGGACAGCCCCCCAAAAAAGAGGACAUGGUCACCCUGACUAAUGUGUAUUUUUGUUCAGGUUCUCCUCUGGGUCCAUAUUUCCAAAGUCCAGAACACUCCUGUUAUUGUUUUCCAGUUUUAACUUUUAAAUAUGAUGUUGAAGAUGCUCAGCUGCUGAGUUUAAGAUCUGAAUGAAACAGCAGCACCGUGUUUUAAGACGGUUUUAAGACGGUUUUGUUGAUUAGACAGUGAAAACAUCCGAGGGUUUCUGCGACUUUGUUGUUCAGUGUCUCCUCGGCAGAGUUGUUCGUGUUUCAGAGGAGAACGACGUGACGGUCCCGGGUGAGGAUCCAUCACGCUACAGCGGGGUGUGAUGAAAGCGCCGGCGUGUGUGUAGAGGAGCUAAUGGAGCGUGAUAUUGGCCCGUUAAAGUUUAGCUCCCUGCAGCGCCGCAGGACAAGUGUCCGGCUGUCCGAAAGUGAUGUCGGAUUAUGAGACGUCUCACCUGUCGGGAUGACGGACAGCUGAAACCUGUCAUUGAGAUGACGCCGCUGACAUUUCCUCCGCGGAAAGCGCCGCUCUGAAGGGAACGGUUAAAGGUCCGGAUAUGAAAGAAACUCCAAAGCUGAUAAAUCUGACAGAAACAGUUGGUGGAAAUUUCAUCUGUAGGUGAACCGAGAGUGUGCAGGUGUGUUCCUUUAUUUUCCUCGCUCGCUCGCUCGCUCGCUCCCUCGCUCUCUCCUCACUCUCAGGGUCUAACGGUGUAAAAGAAGAGCCUCCUCUCUCCCUCUAAUAGAUUUGUCUCCUCUGGGAUUCGGCUCUGAUGUCUGAUUUCAUCCUCUCUGCUCUAAAUGUUGGAGCUGAUGGACUGUAUCCCUCCAUCAGCCGACCUCUGACCCCUGCAGCCUCCCAGCUCAAUCACAGCUCGCCCCGAAUGAAGGCGUGUGUGUGUGUGGAGGUUAUAAAAGCAUUUACCUGUCAGUCAGUGUUCAGGGCAGCAGCAGAAUACUGAGAGACGAACAGGCGGUUCUGUUUUUUUAACACCAGAUCGGCAACGGCUCCAUCGCUGCAGCGACGCAGAGAUGAGCUACGACCUUCAACCUCCGCCAUCAACCGUGAUCAAAUACUGUCCGAUCGCAGCUAACACCACCUGACUUAUAUCGCAUCAUGAGUCACCUGACUGUAGUCUGACAAAUAAUAACGUCCAUCAAAUCACAACAAGUGCUCUCUCCAGAUACUGAACAGAAAAGAUGGACUCUGUUUACAAAGACCAGUAAAGACUGUAUAAGUGACUCUAACGGGAUAUUUUUAACCCGGGAUGAGGACCGACCGAGCGUUCACGCCAUCGACUCGCUUCAUUUACGCGUACCUAGAUGUGUGAAUUAAAAGAAUUUACUCGCGUCAACAGAGCGCUAAAAGUCGGAAUCAAGUGAUAAACAAGUUUUUCACAACUCACCAGAUAAUCCGACCUCCUCACUAACUUUCCACAAACACGAGCAAACUUGAUUCUGCACUCAAACCUGAUCUACUAACCGGGAGCACCGAGGAUCCCGUCUGUCAAAUGAGCAGAACAGCACGUAAUCGAGUUAGCGUGUUUGCCUUCAUGACGACGCAGAAUGUUUGUAGAUCAUCAGAACGCGCAAAAUCCUGGGAGGAGCAGAUAAGAAUAGAAUCAUGUUGAACCCGAAAUGUGAUUUAUCAAACCAGGAAACCGAUUGCGGUCGCUGUUUUGCGUCUAUAUUUAGUACGUUUGAAAUGAACGUGUGAACUGGAGCGGCGUUACGAACGGUCAUCGUGGGGAGGAGGAGGCAGGAGUGUCGUGAUAGACGAUAUGAUCCUCGUCCAAAAGCUUCUGAUUUAUUUCGUUUUUCCAGUAAACGACGAUUUUUAUAAAUAAAAAGGUCGAACAUGAAACAGAUGAAAAAAACGAUGUUUGUCUUAUUGAUUUGAAAUCGUUUUAAUCCCUUUUUUGAUUUCUAGUAUAUCUUCUCGUAUCUGUAAAGACCUUUGAAUCUCCUCGUGUAUGAAUGGUUUCGACACUCGGCUCUCACUAACUCUCUACGGUGACGGCCGAUAGCGCACGCAAAAUCCCCCUUUAAAGAGGGCGGUCCGCACCACUUUUUCUCCUGCUAUCAAUUGUGCACCCAAAGCAUUCUGGGUAAUCACAGCCAGACUCUAGAGUGAGUCUGAUAAAUGUAGAUAAUACUGUCGGUAUCGAUGUUUCAUCUUCGCAGCUUCUUCUUUGUUUGAUCAUCUUUUUUCUCUCUUCUCUUGAAUUUUAAAGCCGAAACACGAAUUCUUCUUUCGUCUGAAACUUUCUCCUGGCGUCUUUUUAAGCUCCUCCCACUUCAUGUUCAAAUCUGGGCUACAUCUCCAUAAAGAGAGGAAACAGAAACGGAGCUUUGAUGGACUUCAUGAUUUAACUGAGGGACAACGUCAACCUCUGAAAAGUGAGUCUGAGGAGAUCCUGCAGAAACGAACACUCUGCAGUAAGUCUGUCGGCUGUAAAUUCAUGUUUUCAUUUCUGGUUUUGGAGGAUGGAGGGCUGUAAUACCUCAUUUUUUUAGAGAUAGAAAGCUGAUAUGAGGACACGGUUUGAGUCUCUGUUUAUGAGACGUUUGGUCAGUUUGAGGAAAACGUUGUAUCAGCCACACGAGCUUCAGAUUUCUCGUAAUCAGCCGACAGAUUUGAAAUAAACUUUACAGAAAGUUUCAACAGUUCGACUUUUUACCGACGUCGACGUUCUCAUCGCCGACACGCUCUCUGACAAACUGACUUUUUAGGAAACGUCUGACAACGCCAGCUUCCAUUACAUUAUGAAACGUGAAUAAGUGGAUUUAUGGGCUGGUGCUUAUUUGCUCUUCACUUUAAGGAGGCCGGAUGACGGUUUGACAGGCGGCUGAUAGGAGCUGAUGAAGAGUCGGGGGGGUUGACAGAGAAAGUGUUGCACAAAUACGACAGAGUGAAGGUCAGUCGGAGGCCGAGCGGCUGACAGCGCCUUUUUAAAUAAUGAAGAUAUGAAAAAUUGAAAAUGAGCAAUUUGAUUAUCCUCUCGUCAGCAGCCUCAGUGAUGCAUGGAGGACGGCCGGCCUGUUUGCACUUCAUUUCAUUAGAGAGGAGGGGGGGGGGAAGGAGCUGAUAAAGUGAACAGGUCGCCGAUUGGAUAUCGAAAAGAUGACAGCGGGCGCCGCUCGAUUCAGUGACGGGUGGCGUCUUCUGUGGAAGAUUGUGAUCUGACCUGGAGGUCGCUGGGAGUUUAUUUUACUUCUCUGUUAUCUUUAGGAAUAUAUUUAAAAGUUUAAUUAAAAAAAAAAUGUUUACAGAAAAUUCAGCUUUUGUGUUUUUUAAUGUUCCUGAUGUGACAGAAGCUGUGGUGACUGUAAACGUGUGACAGGAGUUCGUAAAAUCAGCGUAUUCUUCCAAAGACAUCAGUCAAAUCGAAGAAAACAGCUGCAGUGACAAGAGGCCAAAAAACACGACAGGGAAGCAGUGUAGCCAACUCCUCAGAAAGGGAAGUAGUUAUUGGCCGUCCUAAAAGUCGCUACAUGGCGUCAUCGCCUAAUUUGCAUAAUUGGCCAAAUUGUCAUGUAAUUUGUCCAAAUGUUACGCUGUAAGGGAAAGAAAUAACGUCGCAGGAGGGACAAAAAGUGAGUACAAUCACCCCAAAUAUGUUCAGAACUACAAAUGAACUUUUUUUCCUUUAUCCGAGCUUGGGACCGGAAAAAAUGACCAAAUUGAGACAAUUUGACAGAGUUACUGAGUUUUUUUUCUUCUUCUUUUUUUAAAGUUUUGUUUGGCUUCAAACAACAAAAAAUUUAAAACCUGAAAAAUCUAAAUUUUUCAGGUUUGAUUGAGUGUUUUUUACAUGCUUAUAACUCAGGAAAUCCACGUGACACAAACUCAAACCUGCGUACAAAACCCCGGACAUUUGAAGGAGUUUAUAAACUCCCCC